rnacentral:ncRNA from 2 species
UUACCGUGUGGGCGCCGUGGUGCUCGGGAAGUCGGUUCAAAACCGGCGCGGCCCUCGCCACUGUGAUCGGGAUUGUCCACCGGGCGUUCACACCUCGUGAGACCACUGGCCCCACCCGGGGCCGGGAAGGUCAGCCCGUCGGACGCGGUACGUCCCGUCAGCCAGGAGACCGGCCACGGCGCGUCAGACCCG